rnacentral:rRNA from 1 species
UACGUAGGGUCCGAGCGUUGUCCGGAAUUACUGGGCGUAAAGAGCUCGUAGGUGGUUUGUCGCGUUGUUCGUGAAAACUCACAGCUCAACUGUGGGCGUGCGGGCGAUACGGGCAGACUGGAGUACUGCAGGGGAGACUGGAAUUCCUGGUGUAGCGGUGGAAUGCGCAGAUAUCAGGAGGAACACCGGUGGCGAAGGCGGGUCUCUGGGCCACUACUGACGCUGAGAAGCGAAAGCGUGGGGAGCGAACAGG